rnacentral:rRNA from 1 species
CCUACGGGAGGCAGCAGUAGGGAAUCUUCCACAAUGGGCGAAAGCCUGAUGGAGCAACGCCGCGUGUGUGAUGAAGGGUUUCGGCUCGUAAAACACUGUUGUAAGAGAAGAAUGACAUUGAGAGUAACUGUUCAAU